rnacentral:lncRNA from 1 species
AUAUAUAUAUAUAUAUAUAUAUAUAUAUAUAUAUAUAAUAUAUUUAUGUGUAAUAAGUCUUCUGUACAAGUAAGGAGAUCUCCGUGAUUAUAAGUUAUUUUCAAUGAUAAAAAAUUUGAUUUGAUGAUCAACUCCGUUAAAUAUAAUUUACUUUAUUAAAACUAAAUUUUAUAAUUGUUUGACAUUAUUUACCAAGCGAUCAAAAGAUCUCAAAAUUGAUUAUUUUAACGGCCGAUGUGACAUAUUUUUAAGUUUAACGGUGUAAAAGUAUCCAAAUUAGAUGAAAAUUUAAUAGAAAAUUCUACUUAACAUCAAUAGCAAGACCAAUACUUCCGAUUUGAAAUUUGAAUCCUUUAUCACUGUUUUUUAUGAGAUUUUUAUUUUCAGCCGUUCAUUUUGAGAUUACUUGUUUAUUAAACAAACGAAGUUAACAAAUUAUGAAAUUUGAUUUCUAAAUAGUUCUAAUAACGUAGAUCAUGUCUAACAAAAUCGAUCGCCAAAUCAGAUAUCCCAUUACAGAAAAUAACUUACAAGCACGGAGGCUUCCGUACUUUCGAAAGCAUAGGAACCUAACUCUCUCUCUCUCUCUCUAUAUAUAUAUAUAUAUCC